GAUGAACGCUGGCGGCGUGCCUAAUACAUGCCAGUCGAGCGAACAGACGAGGAGCUUGCUCCUCUGACGUUAGCGGCGGACGGGUGAGUAACACGUGGAUAACCUACCUAUAAGACUGGGAUAACUUCGGGAAACCGGAGCUAAUACCGGAUAAUAUAUUGAACCGCAUGGUUCAAUAGUGAAAGACGGUUUUGCUGUCACUUAUAGAUGGAUCCGCGCCGCAUUAGCUAGUUGGUAAGGUAACGGCUUACCAAGGCAACGAUGCGUAGCCGACCUGAGAGGGUUAUCGGCCACACUGGAACUGAGACACGGUCCAGACUCCUACGGGAGGCAGCAGUAGGGAAUCUUCCGCAAUGGGCGAAAGCCUGACGGAGCAACGCCGCGUGAGUGAUGAAGGUCUUCGGAUCGUAAAACUCUGUUAUUAGGGAAGAACAAAUGUGUAAGUACCUAUGCACGUCUUGACGGUACCUAAUCAGAAAGCCACGGCUAACUACGUG
rnacentral:rRNA from 1 species